ACCACAGGGGGAGCUGGCUGUUGUGUCUCUGCUCCCCCUCCCCUGUGCGCCGACACUCCGGCCCUGAGUGUCCGGCCCGCAGGGGAGGGGGAGCAGAGACACAACAGUCAUCUCC